GAACAUCAAAACCUACUCGCAACCAAUCCAAAAUUAAGGUUCUUCCCCUCUUUUUCGCCAGAAUCAAGAAUCAAGAACUGGUUACAAGUUCAAAGGCUUCCUUCUUUCGCUCUAUUAAUCGAAACCCUCGAUCUUGAUAACAGAGGGAAAGGGGAGAAGAAAGGAACCUGACGAGGACGUCGUCGUCGUCGGAAGAGGAGCGAUCAUCGUCGGCUUCUUUGAUCUAAAGCUCAAGCUCUCUGAUCUGCUCCAUCUGAAGCCUCUCACGCUCCAGAAUCCCCUCGACGCUCUCCUCUUCCGUCGCUCUCCCACGCUUCUACCGCGAGUGCCGAGGGAUCGGUGCUUUCGCCGCUCCCAGUUUCCAGUUUGAUAUCUCCUGUUUUAUUUUUUCUCCUUUGGCUGGACGCGACGCGUGGGGGUUACAACCCGAAAACCCUCUCUUACGGUGAAAAUAGCAGGUUUUCGGAUCUUAAUCCGACCCGGUAAGAUUUUCUUUUUCCGCUCGAGUGAGAGAAAUUUAUCUCAUGAAAAAAUGUUGGAUAAAAAAUAGGUAAGGGUGCAUACCUGCCUGCCAGCAAAUUUUACUUUCUUCGAGCCAAAUUAUUGGGCUGAAUUUAUUAAUGUUUUGAACAUCUUUCACUCAAUCCAGCCGACUGAUAAGAAGUCUACUGAAUGGCCCUUCC
rnacentral:lncRNA from 1 species